GCGCUGAUGGUCUAAUGGCUAUGACUGAAGCCUUCCAAGCUUCGAGUCCGGGUUCGAUUCCCGGUCGGCGCA
rnacentral:tRNA from 1 species